GUUUAUCGCCACGCCAUCCUGAGCGCGCCCAAUCUCGUCUGAUCUCAGAAGCUAAGCAGGGUCAGUCCUGGUUAGUACUUGGGUGGGAGAAAUC
rnacentral:rRNA from 1 species